UCGAUGAGUUGAGAUAAACUCCGAGGCGAAACGAAAGUAACGCAGCCGAUCCGGGGGCUCACCCCCUCGGCGCAGGCUCGAGGCCCGCUCUUAACACGGCGUCUAGUCGUUGGGCGGGCACUCCGAGCGCACAAGUUAGUACCCGAAAGAUGGUGAUCUAUGCUUGGCGAGGACGAAGCCAGGGGAAACUCUGGUGGAGGUUCGGAGCGAUUCUGACGUGCAAAUCGAUCGUCGGAGCUGAGUAUAGGGGCGAAAGACCAAUCGAACCAUCUAGUAGCUGGUUCCUUCCGAAANUA
rnacentral:rRNA from 1 species